ensembl:lncRNA
UUUUUAGUUGUGAGGGGGGGGGGGGGGGGGGGUGGAAACAGGGAUUGCCUAGAUGCCUCUACUGUUUUUGGGAUCCGAGUCUUAAUGAAUGUUCAAGUUUGUUUCAUUGUAAAUGCAGAGGUUUAGAAAACGGCUCUUUGUCUGUGUAAAUAUGCAUCGGGAGCACACAGGUAAAUGGGCGAGGACUGAGGACAAUCACUAAUUAUCAAUCACUAAAAUCGAUUCUACAACAUUCCAGAUGCCUUGCAUUCAAAACAUGUCUUAAAGAAGCACAACAGGUUAACAUCAUCCAAUUUGAAGGAAGAGAGUAUAUUUUAAAAAAAGCCCAAUCCCCACAGUUUAAACAAAGACACGCGUGUUGUCUUUCGAGGACUGACGACUCGGGGGACCCGGUGUUUGAGAAGUCAAUCCAACUUCUGGUUUUAAUAACUGCAUCUUUUUUAACAGCGAUAUACUAUACUCGUUCAGCUAAAAUAACUCAUUGUAACGUUGAAUAAGAACUGUAACCCACACGUAAUUGAGGCUAGUCGGCUAAUCUAGCAUAGGACGAACCAGGUUGUCUUUUUUUUUAUUGGGUAUACUAGUGAAAGACAAUGUUUUUAUGUUCACACACAGUGGCUUCAGAUGUUAGUGGUAAUUAGAGCUUCAUGCUGCAAGAGGCUUCUUAAGUACUGCCAACACUGUGAUUAAUAAAGCAGCAGUUUUACGAUAUGACAUUCCAAUAAAUGCAGAAAUGGACAGGGGGAAAGUGGAGUGCUGUGAUGAACUGUUGGGACGUGGGUUUGACUUGAUACAGAAAUGA